GGGGGAAUUUUCCGCAAUGGGCGAAAGCCUGACGGAGCAAUACCGCGUGAGGGAAGACGGCCUAUGGGUUGUAAACCUCUUUUUUCAGGGAGGAACAAAAUGACGUGUACCUGAAGAAUAAGCAUCGGCUAACUCCGUGCCAGCAGCCGCGGUAAGACGGAGGAUGCAAGUGUUAUCCGGAAUCACUGGGCGUAAAGCGUCUGUAGGUGGUUUGUUAAGUCAACUGUUAAAUCUUGAGGCUCAACUUCAAAUCAGCAGUCGAAACUAUCAGACUAGAGUAUAGUAGGGGUAAAGGGAAUUUCCAGUGGAGCGGUGAAAUGCGUAGAUAUUGGAAAGAACCCCGAUGGCGAAGGCACUUUCCUGGGCUAUUACUAACACUCAGAGACGAAAGCUAGGGUAGCAAAUGGGAUUAGAUACCCCAGUAGUCCUAGCUGUAAACAAUGGAUAAGGGG
rnacentral:rRNA from 1 species